rnacentral:rRNA from 2 species
AGCAACAAAUGCCCUGCUUCCAGGAAAAGCCUCUAAGCAUCAGGUAACAUCAAAUCGUACCCCAAACCGACACAGGUGGUCAGGUAGAGAAUACCAAGGCGCUUGAGAGAACUCGGGUGAAGGAACUAGGCAAAAUGGUGCCGUAACUUCGGGAGAAGGCACGCUGACACGUAGGUGAAGUGAUUUACUCAUGGAGCUGAAGUCAGUCGAAGAUACCAGCUGGCUGCAACUGUUUAUUAAAAACACAGCACUGUGCAAACACGAAAGUGGACGUAUACGGUGUGACGCCUGCCCGGUGCCGGAAGGUUAAUUGAUGGGGUCAGCGCAAGCGAAGCUCCUGAUCGAAGCCCCGGUAAACGGCGGCCGUAACUAUAACGGUCCUAAGGUAGCGAAAUUCCUUGUCGGGUAAGUUCCGACCUGCACGAAUGGCGUAAUGAUGGCCAGGCUGUCUCCACCCGAGACUCAGUGAAAUUGAACUCGCUGUGAAGAUGCAGUGUACCCGCGGCAAGACGGAAAGACCCCGUGAACCUUUACUAUAGCUUGACACUGAACAUUGAGCCUUGAUGUGUAGGAUAGGUGGGAGGCUUUGAAGCGUGGACGCCAGUCUGCGUGGAGCCGACCUUGAAAUACCACCCUUUAAUGUUUGAUGUUCUAACGUGGACCCGUAAUCCGGGUUGCGGACAGUGUCUGGUGGGUAGUUUGACUGGGGCGGUCUCCUCCUAAAGAGUAACGGAGGAGCACGAAGGUUGGCUAAUCCUGGUCGGACAUCAGGAGGUUAGUGCAAUGGCAUAAGCCAGCUUGACUGCGAGCGUGACGGCGCGAGCAGGUGCGAAAGCAGGUCAUAGUGAUCCGGUGGUUCUGAAUGGAAGGGCCAUCGCUCAACGGAUAAAAGGUACUCCGGGGAUAACAGGCUGAUACCGCCCAAGAGUUCAUAUCGACGGCGGUGUUUGGCACCUCGAUGUCGGCUCAUCACAUCCUGGGGCUGAAGUAGGUCCCAAGGGUAUGGCUGUUCGCCAUUUAAAGUGGUACGCGAGCUGGGUUUAGAACGUCGUGAGACAGUUCGGUCCCUAUCUGCCGUGGGCGCUGGAAGACUGAGGGGGGCUGCUCCUAGUACGAGAGGACCGGAGUGGACGCAUCACUGGUGUUCGGGUUGUCAUGCCAAUGGCACUGCCCGGUAGCUAAAUGCGGAAAAGAUAAGUGCUGAAAGCAUCUAAGCACGAAACUUGCCCCGAGAUGAGUCUUCCCUGAGACUUUGAGUCUCCUGAAGGAACGUUAAAGACGAUGACGUUGAUAGGCCGGGUGUGUAAGCGCAGCGAUGCGUUGAGCUAACCGGUACUAAUGAACCGUGAGGCUUAACCUUACAACGCCGAAGGUGUUU